rnacentral:rRNA from 1 species
AACGAACGCUGGCGGCGUGGAUAAGACAUGCAAGUCGAGCGAUUGUUAGCGGGUAGCAAUAUCUGUUAACGAGAGCGGCGCAAGGGUGCGUAACACGUGGGCAAUCUGCCGUGAAGUUGGGGAUAAUCCCGCGAAAGCGGGACUAAUACCGGAUGUGACAGACUGGUGGCAUCACUGGUUUGUUGAAGUUGGGGACCCGCAAGGGCCUGACGCUUCAUGAUGAGCCCGCGGCCUAUCAGGUAGUUGGCGGGUAACGGCCCACCAAGCCUAAGACGGGUAGCUGGUCUGAGAGGACGACCAGCCACACUGGAACUGAGACACGGUCCAGACACCUACGGGUGCAG